UCCAAGCUAAACUUAAGUGCUUGGUCUCCCAUAGUCGAUGGAUUGCUUUGCGACGUUUCUUCUACGAUAGUUUUAGGAAAUGUUUGAAUGAAUGUAGCUUCAAGGAGUUAUAACAUCAAUUUAUUAGAUAACCAUUUUGAUAACUUGGAAAUGUCAGCUAAAUUAAUUGCGUACACACCUUUUCCACACAGUUUCCAGUUUAGCACAGAGCAGGAAAAUAUCUUUUUUAUGCCUCAAAAAUCUGUCGAAAUCAAUCAAGGCCACACACACACACACGCUCGCACACCUCAUGACACAUUUCGUUGGAAAACGAUUGUAGGGUAAAACAAAAACAAAAACAAAAAACGAAAUAUAAAAAAAAAACUACAGCAGCUACAACAACAAGUCGAAGAUGUGGGAAAAACAGACUGCAACACACAAAAUGGGAGUCAAUUUAUAAAAGUCGCCCCGAAACUGGACAACAAAUAAAUAACAACAACUGCAACGCUAUGAGUAUGAGUGUGCGUGUGUGUGUGCGUGUGUUUGUCGGCGCUUUUUACUCCUUUUUUGGUUGUCAACGUUAAUUAAUCAAUCAUUGUACGCACGUUGGCGGUGCAUUAAUCAUUUUACAGAGUUGCCGCAAAACUUAAAAUUUCAAUUUUCAACUUGGAAUUAAGUAUCAUCAUUCAAUCAUUGCUCAAUCCCGCUGAUGGGCUCAUCCUUUUCACCGAUGAUAUCCUUUUCAUAGCUAUGUCUCCUUUGUAUUGUUCAAGCUGUUCUUCUUGUUGCUGUUGUUGGGCAUUUGUAAAUCAAAUUGCAUGGAAAACAAAGUGACCAAGGAUGUUGUUGUUGUCAUUGUUGUUGCCCUGGAACGAGGGCUGAAUACUGGGAGGGAUUGGGAGCUUUUUCAGCAUUGAACCGAAGAGUUGCUAGAGCCCACCAGAGAUUCGAGAAAGAUAGAGAAUAUGCACGAGCGAGGAAGAGAGAGAGAAACAGAAAGCGUGACCGAGAGAGCAAUAGAGAUAGAGGAGAGAGGAAGACGAAGACAAAGCGACUUGUUUGGUGGGGCCACUCAACACGUUUCUGACUGUGCACGGCUAGUGUAGUCUCUGUGUGUGUAUUAGUGUGUGUCUGUGUGUGUGUGUGUGCUUAAGCAUGCGACCGCACUUGUGCCACGUACAACAAAAAAUACGAAACAAAACAAGUAAGAACGCUUAAAGUCACCAAAGUGCCUCGAUUAGGCAAAUACCCUGUAACUAAAUUCGAGAAAAAGGUUAGGAAAAAUCGACAUGCUCAACUUAAAAAUCCAACUAAAUGUUUUUAGUUCUUAGUGAUUAUAAUUAUUUCAAAAUAUUAUCUUAUAAUGAGAAUUUAUUAUUUGGUAGAUUCUUAAUAAGAAGUUUAACACCAAAUCAAUAAUUAAACAUAAUAAUUAUUGUACUAUUGAUAUUAAAACAUAUUUUGUCUUUUAAAAAUAUUAUCCACAAUUCAACUAUUUUAAAACAAAGUGCAAUACAUUUAAGAAAUAUAUAAAGAGAUAAAGAUUUCUGACUAAAGACUUGUAUUCAACAAUAACUGAUAUACCCGUUUUGUGAAGCUCUGAAGGGUGCUGGGUAUACGAAAAGUUCAUUUGAACGCUUUUCUUUUAUGUUGUGAGAUACAGAUAUACAAAUUUUUAUGCUCGCCGCGCCACUCGAGCAUAUUUUCGUGUUCUCCUCCUGUUGCUGUUGCUGUUGCUUGUUGUUGUGUUUGGAUUGCAGCACUUGAAUUUGGUUUGGCGCGCUCCAAAAAUACCAGAAACCGUACCGUAACUCAACCAACUGAUUCCACUCAUCGUUUGUUUUAAUUGGGCAUUUUUAUGUAUUUAUUAAAUGCAAAUGGCAAAUUGGUGAGUCAAGAAGACAUCAGGAUGUCUGCGCACUUGACGCAUAACAAAUUUUAAUGGUCCCAAAAUUUAAUCCUAUGAUCCCAAUCCCAUGCCAUAUUCCUUGUCUUUCGCCUCUACUACAAUUUUUCUAGCAUUGAAAAAUAAA